UCCGGUUUGUCACCGGCAGUCUCCUUUGAGUUCCCACCAUUACGUGCUGGCAACAAAGGACAAGGGUUGCGCUCGUUACGGGACUUAACCCAACAUCUCACGACACGAGCUGACGACAGCCAUGCAGCACCUGUCACUUGAUUCCCGAAGGCACUCCCGCAUCUCUGCAGGAUUCCAAGGAUGUCAAGGCCUGGUAAGGUUCUUCGCGUUGCAUCGAAUUAAACCACAUGCUCCACCGCUUGUGCGGGCCCCCGUCAAUUCAUUUGAGUUUUAACCUUGCGGCCGUACUCCCCAGGCGGUCUAUUUAUCGCGUUAACUGCGCCACUAAGCGAUCAAGUCGCCCAACGGCUAAUAGACAUCGUUUACGGCGUGGACUAC
rnacentral:misc_RNA from 1 species